GCAUGCAGUCGAACGGUAUCGGUUCCUUCGGGGAUCGAGAGAGUGGCGAACGGGUGAGUAACACGUAGGUUAUCUGCCCUCGAGAUCGGGACAACCCAGGGAAACUUGGGCUAAUACCGGAUGCGUGCUACUGUAGUGGUAGCAUAAAAGGUGGCGUUUGCUGCCGCUUGAGGAUGAGCCUGCGUCCUAUUAGUUAGUUGGUGAGGUAAUGGCUUACCAAGGCGAUGAUAGGUAGGCGGCCUUAACGGGUGGUCGCCCACACUGGGAUUGAGAUACGGCCCAGACUCCUACGGGAGGCAGCAGUCGAGAAUAGUCUACAAUGGUCGAAAGACUGAUAGUGCGACGCCGCGUGAACGAAGACGCCUUUCGGGGUGUAAAGUUCUUUUAUAUGUGAGCAGUGGAUGUUACAUUAAUAGUGUGAUAUCAGGGAUAUUAGCAUAUGAAUAAGCAACGGCUAACUCCGUGCCAGCAGCCGCGGUAACACGGGGGUUGCGAGCGUGGUCCGGAAUUACUAGGCGUAAAGGGCAGGUAGGCGGAGAUGUAAGUUUGAUGUUAAAGGUACUGGCUCACCCAGUGUACGGCAUCAGAUACUGCAUUUCUUGAAUACGGUUGGGGAAGACAGAAUUCCUGGUGUAGCGGUGGAAUGCGCAGAGAUCAGGAGGAAUACCGAAGGCGAAGGCAGUCUUCUAAGCCGGUUAUUGACGCUAAACUGCGAAGGUGUGGGUAUCAAACAGGAUUAGAUACCCUGGUAGUCCACACAGUAAACGAUAAUCACUAGGUGUCGGUUUCUUAUCAAUGGAUUCGGUGCCGUAGCUAACGCGUUAAGUGAUUCGCCUGGGGAGUACGAUCGCAAGGUUGAAACUCAAAGGAAUUGACGGGGGCCCGCACAAGCGGUGGAGCAUGUGGUUUAAUUCGAGGCAACGCGAGGAACCUUACCAGGGCUUGACAUCCAACUAACGAAGCAGAGAUGCAUUAGGCGCCCCUUCGGGGAAAGUUGAGACAGGUGGUGCAUGGUUGUCGUCAGCUCGUGUCGUGAGAUGUUGGGUUAAGUCCCGCAACGAGCGCAACCCCUAUUGUUAGUUGCUACCAUUAAGUUGAGCACUCUAGCGAGACUGCCGAGGUCAACUCGGAGGAAGGUGGGGAUGACGUCAAAUCAUCAUGCCCCUUAUGUCUAGGGCUACACACGUGCUACAAUGGCGAGUACAACAAGAUGCAAGACCGCGAGGUGGAGCAAAACUGUAAAACUCGUCCCAGUUCGGAUUGUAGGCUGAAACUCGCCUACAUGAAGCCGGAGUUGCUAGUAAUCGCGAAUCAGA
rnacentral:rRNA from 1 species